GUGGGGAAUAUUGGACAAUGGGGGCAACCCUGAUCCAGCAAUGCCGCGUGAGUGAUGAAGGCCUUAGGGUUGUAAAGCUCUUUUACCCGGGAUGAUAAUGACAGUACCGGGAGAAUAAGCUCCGGCUAACUCCGUGCCAGCAGCCGCGGUAAUACGGAGGGAGCUAGCGUUGUUCGGAAUUACUGGGCGUAAAGCGCGCGUAGGCGGCUACUCAAGUCAGGGGUGAAAGCCCGGGGCUCAACCCCGGAACUGCCUUUGAAACUAGGUAGCUAGAAUCUUGGAGAGGUCAGUGGAAUUCCGAGUGUAGAGGUGAAAUGCGUAGAUAUAGGAAGGAACACCAGUGGCGAAGGCGACUACCUGGACUGAUACUGACACUGAGGUGCGAAAGCGUGGGGAGCAAACAGGAUUAGAUACCCUUGUAGUCC
rnacentral:rRNA from 1 species